GAAACGCGAUAGGUAAUGUGAAUUGCAGAAUUCCGUGAAUCAUCGAAUCUUUGAACGCACAUUGCGCCUUCUGGUAUUCCGGUAGGCAUGCCUGUCUGAGCGUCAGCAAAACACCCCUCAGCCUGAGUAUUUUUGUACUUAACGCUGGUUUUGGGCAGUGGGAUGCCGGUGGGAGUUUAAUUCUUUUCCUGCCUGCGCCCUCCCUAAACUUGCUGUACGACCGCAAGCACCUUCUAGCCAGGUCAAAAUGGAGUGGUGUUACAAUCUUCCAGAAAAGCCUGCUGGACAAUUGCUUCAUGGCGUUAAACCAAAGAGCCUCCCUCCCUCCCUCUGUGGAGGCUUGAAGUUUUGACCUCAGAUCAGACAAGGAUACCCGCUGAACUUAA
rnacentral:misc_RNA from 1 species